UCUCCGUUGGUGAACCAGCGGAGGGAUCAUUACCGAGUUUACAACUCCCAAACCCAAUGUGACCAAUACCAACCUGUUGCCUCGGCGGGGUCACGCCCCGGGUGCGCCGCAGCCCCGGAACCAGGCGCCCGCCGGAGGGACCAACCAAACUCUUUCUGUAGUCCCCUCGCGGACGUUAUUUUUACAGCUCUGAGCAAAAAUUCAAAAUGAAUCAAAACUUUCAACAACGGAUCUCUUGGUUCUG
rnacentral:misc_RNA from 1 species